ensembl:lncRNA
AAUGUUUUAAUAUUUAAUAAAACAUAUAAUAAUGAAUAAUUAUUGUUUUCUAUAUGUUGACAUGCAUCAUUGCAUUCUCAUAUACUGCAUUUGUGGUUUCUGCAUAUGAUUGUGUUUGUGUGAGAGAUUGGAUUCCACAGAGGCAGCUGUGGCCUAAUGGUUAGAGAAUUGGACUUGUAACCAGAAGGUCACAGGUUCGAGUCUCGGUGCUGGCAGGAGUUGUAGGUGGGAGGGAGUGAAUGAACAGCGCUCUCUUCCUCCCUCAGUGCUCAUGACUGAAGUACCCUUGAGCAAGAUACUGAACCCUCAGUUGCUCCCCGGGCGCUGGAUAUAUAGCUGCCCACUGCUCCGGGUGUGUGUUCACGGUGUGUUCACUUCUCACUGCUGUGUGUGUGCACUUGGAUGGGUUAAAUGCAGAGCACUAACUCCGAGUAUGGGUUACCAUACUUGGCAAAUGUCACGACUUUCCCUUUCACUUGAUUCCUCUGGUUGUUCAGAUGAAUUCAGCGUCACUUGUUCCAGACAGCGUUUGCCAUAUGAUUUGUUUUCAUCCCACGUUCCAGCGCAGACGGAGGAGGAAGAGUGCGGGUCAAUUUAAAGCUGCUCAAAUUCCCACAUCAGCUCUAAAUGGAGUGUUUUCUGGUGUCUGUCUGGACCUCUGCUCUGAGAUGAAGGACUAAAUGUCUUUGUUUACCUGGUCUGGGUCGUGACGACCAUCUGAAGAGCGUUUCAGAAUCUCAAACCUUCAUACAACAAGAAACUAUAACAAAGAAAAUACAAGGAGGUGAGUGAAAUUAAGGGUAUUUAACGCUGUAGGAGGUGCAGAACUUCUCUAAAGUUUAAGGUCGGUAUGAUUUUGUGGUAACACUUUACAAUAAGUUUCAUUAGGUAACAUUACUUAACUACUUUAGUUAACAUGAACUAGGCAUGAACAAUACUAAUCUUUUUCAACAUUUACUGAUGCAUCAUUAAAAUCAAAACUUGUGCUUGUUAACAUUAGUUAAUGCACUGUGAACUAACAUGAACUAACAGUGAACGACUGUAUUUUCAUUAACUAAUAUUAACAAAGAUUAAUAAAUACUGUAAUAUAUGUAUUUUUCA